AUUCUAUACCAACGGAUAUCUGUCCACAGGCCACAAGCAGAUGAUUUUCACAUUGACAAAUAAAUAUUAUAUGUGAAUUCAUCACGAAGAUAAGGAAAAUCUUUCUUCAGAGGUAUUCUAGAAGUUUUGAUACACCACAAGAUUGGAAGAUCUUGUUAACACAUUCAGCACUCUCUUUGAGGCAGAUGGAGAUGCAAAUUCAGGCAAAACAUAACAGCUUCCACAAUCAUGCGCUAUAAAAAUUAAGUAUCUCACUAAAACUUCACCUUGGAAGUGUGAUAUGUGAUUUUGACUUUCUCAAGAAGGACACCGUGUGACACAACAAAGAGACUCAUUCACUGGCUGAUAUUUGUUUAUUACGCAGUGUUUGAAAAUGGAUGAACAACUCAUGUGAAGAGGAGAAAAGUUAAAAGUGAUAUACAGAUCUACGUGCUGAGAAGGACUUCCUGCUCAGCAGGGAGAAUACAAUCUCAUUCACCACACAAGAUGCUCAUAAAGGGGGUGCCAACU